CAUAUUCUCUGCAUCUGUAUUUAUUUAAAAAUGCUUUUGCAACCUGACACUGUUCAGCUUUUUUAUCUUUUACCAGUAUUUGGGGACUUAUUGGGGAUUCCUUUGAUAAUUUCAGGAAGAAAGAAGUGGAAUGGAAGGAGCCAGUAACUGUCCCAGGUCAGAAAACGCCUCUGAAAAGGAUCUACAUUACACCCAAAGUUCAUUGGAUAACUGCACCCUCAACAAUCAGGAGACAAUAAGUGGUGUAGACAGAGCUAAUAUCUUCCCCAAAUCAGAUGGUACCUCUGAAGACAUUCAGCAUUCCACAGACUGUUCACAGGUUGAGACUUUCCACAUUCAGGAGACAAUAAGUGGUACGAACCAAGCCAGUAACUGCCCCAAAUCAGAUGGUGCCUCUGAAGACAAUCAGCAUUGCACAGACAGUUCACAGCAUGACAGUAUCUUCCACAUUCAGGAGACAAUAAAGGGUACGAACCAAGCCAGUAACUGCCCCAAAUCAGAUGGUGCCUCUGAAGACAAUCAGCAUUGCACAGACAGUUCACAGCAUGACAGUAUCUUCCACAUUCAGGAGACAAUAAAGGGUAUGAACCAAGCCAGUAACUGCCCCAAAUCAGAUGGUGCCUCUGAAGACAAUCAGCAUUGCACAGACAGUCCACAGCAUGACAGUAUCUUCCACAUUCAGGAGACAAUAAAGGGUAUGAACCAAGCCAGUAACUGCCCCAAAUCAGAUGGUGCCUCUGAAGACAAUCAGCAUUGCACAGACAGUUCACAGCAUGACAGUAUCUUCCACAUUCAGGAGACAAUAAAGGGUACGAACCAAGCCAGUAACUGCCCCAAAUCAGAUGGUGCCUCUGAAGACAAUCAGCAUUGCACAGACAGUUCACAGCAUGACAGUAUCUUCCACAUUCAGGAGACAAUAAAGGGUAUGAACCAAGCCAGUAACUGCCCCAAAUCAGAUGGUGCCUCUGAAGACAAUCAGCAUUGCACAGACCGUCCACAGCAUGACAGUAUCUUCCACAUUCAGUGGCUCUUGAUGUAGAACCACCCAUAGAUCCUUCUGCAAAAGAAGUCCAGAAAUCUUCAAUUGAACAAGCAACAGAAAUAACAAGUACCACAACUACCAUGAAAGGUACUGUUUGUUAAACUUCAUAGAAAGCCUUUAUGAACUUAAAAAUCUCUGUUUUUUCUGAUGUGCUUUGUUCAUUCAGGUCGAAAGGUGGUAAAGAAAAAGAAAUGGGACAGUGAUGAAAUGAAUGCAGUUGAAAAGCAUCUAAACAGGUUCAUCAAAACUUGUACAGUGCCAGGAAAACAACAAUGUGAGGCCUGUAUAAAUGCUGAACCUGUUGCCUUGAAAGACAGGGAUUGGUUGUCUGUAAAGUUCUUUGUGAAGAACAAAAUCACUACCCUUAAAAGAAGAAUGUAAAGUCAGUUAUUUUAUUUUGUUUGGUAUCUUAUUUUCUGGUAUUUUAGAUUUCUGGUUAUUACAUUUGUUUUAAAAGGAUCUUAGAAUCUCUUUUUUUUUUUUUUGGAAAUGGGUGCAAUUCAGU
ensembl:lncRNA